rnacentral:tRNA from 2 species
GUCCCCUUCGUCUAGAGGCCUAGGACAUCGCCCUUUCACGGCGGUAACACGAGUUCGAAUCUCGUAGGGGACGCCA